UGGGAUGUGGCUCAGUUGGUAGAGUGCUUGCCUAGCAUGCACAAAGCCCUGGGUUCGAUCCCCAGCGCCGCAU